rnacentral:rRNA from 1 species
AGGAAAGUUGCAAAGUACUUUGAAGAGAGAGUUCAAUAGAACGUGAAACCGUUGCAAAGGAAGCAAAUGAAACCUAAGGCGAGCUGUGCCAGUCCGUCUUCGCCGUCUGCGUCGGUGCGCUGCUUGAUGCUGUCGUUCGCAAGGGCGGCGGCUAGGGUGUGUGCCGGUGUGCGGUAGGAUUUACUUGGUGCAGUUUGCUCUUCGGAGCUGCGCUUGCGAGGCUGAAUGUCGCUGACGAGCGCCACACUCCGGUGUGGCGUCUGUCGUGAAGCUAGGUGUUGUGCGGGUGCGGUGUGCGUCGGAUUUGCUCUCUACGUGCGUUGCCUGUUGGCUCGUUGUGCGCUCGACUUGUCGGCGUGUGCACGGGCUGGCUGUGCGGCGAGAACGGGGUGCCACCGAUGUCCGGGGAGUGCUGAAGGUGGAUCAUUUGACCCGUCUUGAAACACGGACCAAGGAGUUUAGCAUGGUCGCGAGUCAUUGGGAGUGGUAAACCCAUUGGCGAAAUGAAAGUGAAUACACGUGAGUCGUUGGCUGCGGCGCAGCGAUGCAGCGUGGCCCCAUGGCGACGGCUUGCCGUGCUGUGGAGGUUGAGCGAUCACGCUGAGACCCGAAAGAUGGUGAACUAUGCUUGUGCAGCUUGAAGCCAGAGGAAACUCUGGUGGAGGAGCGAAGCGGUUCUGACGUGCAAAUCGAUCGUAUUUU